rnacentral:rRNA from 1 species
CUCUAUCGACAGUGGGUUUACGACCUCGAUGUUGGAUCAGGGUAUCCCAGUGGUGCAGCCGCUACUAAAGGUUCGUUUGUUCAACGAUUAAAACCCUACGUGAUCUGAGUUCAGACCGGAGUAAUCCAGGUCAGUUUCUAUCUAUAAAGAGCUUUUUCUAGUACGAAAGGACCGAAAAAGCAUGGCCAAUACCUCAUGCAAGCCAUACCUGAUUAUUUAUGAUUUAAACUUAAUAGAUACUCAACCUAAGACUUAAGCUCUAAACAAGAGC